AACGGCGAGUGAACAGGCAAAAGCUCAGAUUUGAAAGCCUUUCGGGGCAUUGUAUUCUGAAGCCUUGAUCCUGGGAAACCGGUGCCUAAGUCUUCUGGAAAGGAGCGCCAAGGAGGGUGAAAGCCCCGUACGGUACUGACCCCAUUGUAGGAUCUUGGCAUGGAGUCGAGUUGUUUGGGAAUGCAGCUCAAAUGGGUGGUAUGCUCCAUCUAAAGCUAAAUAUCUGCGAGAGACCGAUAGCGAACAAGUACUGUGAAGGAAAGAUGAAAAGAACUUUGAAAAGAGAGUGAAAUAGUACGUGAAAUUGUUGAAAUGGAAGGGUAGGCCGCUAACGACGUAGAGUCGUGUCUGGGGGGAGGAUAAAAGCUGUAGAAUGUGGCUCCUCGGAGUGUUAUAGCUGCAGUGCAUACUCCCAUCCGGGCGCGAGGAC
rnacentral:rRNA from 1 species